UAAUACGGAGGGUGCAAGCAUUGAUCGGAAUUACUGGGCGUAAAGGGCGCGUAGGCGGCUGUUUAAGUCAGAUGUGAAAUUCCGGGGCUCAACCCCGGAGCUGCAUCCGAAACUGGACAGCUAGAGUGUAGUUAGGGAGAACGGAAUUCCACGUGUAGCGGUGAAAUGCGUAGAUAUGUGGAAGAACACCGGUGGUGAAGACGGUUCUCUGGGCUAUAACUGACGCUGAGGCGCGAAAGCAUGGGGAGCAAACAGG
rnacentral:rRNA from 1 species